GUCGGUGUGGCGGAGCUGGCAGACGCAGCAGACUUAAAAUCUGCCGAUGGAAACAUCGUACCGGUUCGAUCCCGGUCACCGGCACCA
rnacentral:tRNA from 1 species